rnacentral:lncRNA from 1 species
UCCGAUUUGGUUUUAUUUUGGAAUGGAAUGAAGAAGCAACAAUCAUAAAAAAUAAAAUAAAAAAACAACAAUCAAUCAAUCCCCAAAAACACUAACAUUAAAUUACAGACAUUUUCUUGAUAUCAAAUGUAAAAUUGACAUCAAGGCCUCUUUGAUCUAAUUAUUCUCUGCCUUUUGCAAAGCAAAAUCCUUCAAAAUUCAAAUACACUUUUUAUUUUGAAUUCUAGUUCAUAUGUACAUUUUCUUCCAUCCUAGUCUCUCUAAAUCCUUAAACAUUACAAGUAAAAUGGUUUUAGAUUGCAGUCUCCAACUACAAAUGCAUCCACAACUUAGAUUUCUCAAGCCUCCACAAUCACAUCGCAGCCGCAAUCGCAUUUGAUUGCAUUUUUCACAAUAUCAUAGAUCUUAUUGUAACCGCAACCACAAUUUAAAACCAUGAACCAUAAAAAGAAGUAAUAAUAACCAAGAAAAGAUCAUAAUCUAAGUAGUUUAUAUACUAUAUAAGCAAAAAGCUAAGAAAACAGACAAGAAGAGCAAAUCAUAGAGAGUAUUCCUCUCUCACUUGUUCUGAGUAGGGUUUGGGAUGCUAGGUGGUGCUAUCCUCAUACUUGGUUCCACAACUUUCCUGUUUUGUUUCUUACUUCCACUUAUUUUACCAUUGAUGCCACUUGUUGCAAAAGAAGCAAAAGAUGAAGAUAGAAGCUCCCUUGACAUUGUUAAUCUCGUCUUUCUUGAAAACAUUGGUUCAUGGUGGACACAACAACAAGAGAAGAGAAGAAAGUGAAUCAGAAUCAAGGUCAAUAUAACAGCAAAAACUCUGCAGCUAGUGAUCUUCAUAAUAAGUUGAGAAAGGUUUAAGCAGAAAACAUGCUAAGAUGAAAGAAGGGUUGAAUACUUAGCUUGGAUCAGGUUUAUAUAAAAUGAAAAAAGAGUGGAGCAUGCCUUUUCCACGUGGUUAACCAUACUUAAUUAAAAGGAAACAAAAGGUAGCUAUACUUAAUUAAUCAUCAGUGUUAGUUUUCAGUUAAUGAUAAGACUAAUGUUAAAUUUUCAGCAUUAACAAGAAUGUGAAGGAAAGAAAAAUGCAUAGUACUUUUUUACAUUGAAGACUAAUUUACUAGGUUGAAACCUGGUAGGUGUGGAUCGUGUGACACAUGAUUUUAUAGAGAUUCAUGUGAUCAGACACGUGAAUCUGAACAAAAAUAGACUUGUAAAUUCAUGUUCUUAUAUAGCUUUGUCAAUCAAAAUAAUGGUUUAAUUUUCUCUUGGCA